ACUUCUUCAGCUCAGUUGGUUAGAGCGUGGUGCUGACAACGCCAAGGUUGCAGGUUCAAUCCCCGUAAGGGACA